rnacentral:rRNA from 1 species
UAUUGGACAAUGGGUGGAACCCUGAUCCAGCGACGCCGCGUGAGUGAAGAAGUAUUUCGGUAUGUAAAGCUCUAUCAGCAGGGAAGAAAAGAAUGACGGUACCUGAAUAAGAUGCCCCGGCUAACUACGUGCUAGCAGCCGCGGUAAUAUGUAGGGGGCAAGCGUUAUCCGGAUUUACUGGGUGUAAAGGGAGCGCAGACGGCAAUGCAAGCCUGGAGUGAAAGGCGGGGGCCCAACCCCCGGACUGCUCUGGGAACUGUAUAGCUAUAGUGCAGGAGAGGCAAGUGGAAUUCCUAGUGUAGCGGUGAAAUGCGUAGAUAUUAGGAGGAACACCAGUGGCGAAGGCGACUUGCUGGACUGUAACUGACGUUGAGGCUCGAAAGCGUGGGGAGCAAACAGG